CCUACGGGCGGCAGCAGUGAGGAAUAUUGGUCAAUGGACGAGAGUCUGAACCAGCCAAGUAGCGUGAAGGAUGACUGCCCUAUGGGUUGUAAACUUCUUUUAUAAAGGAAUAAAACGAGGCACGUGUGCCUUUUUGCAUGUACUUUAUGAAUAAGGAUCGGCUAACUCCGUGCCAGCAGCCGCGGUAAUACGGAGGAUCCGAGCGUUAUCCGGAUUUAUUGGGUUUAAAGGGAGCGUAGGCGGGUUGUUAAGUCAGUUGUGAAAGUUUGCGGCUCAACCGUCAAACUGCAAUUGAAACUGGGAGUCUUGAGUACGGUUGAGGUACGCGGAAUGCGUGGUGUAGCGGUGAAAUGCUUAGAUAUCACGCAGAACCCCGAUUGCGAAGGCAGCGUACUAACCUGUGACUGACAUUGAUGCACGAAAGUGUGGGUAUCAAACAGGAUUAGAUACCCCUGUAGUC
rnacentral:rRNA from 1 species